AUCGCUUCUCGGCCUUUUGGCUCAGAUCAAGUGUAGUUUCUGUUCUUAUCAGUUUAAUAUCUGAUAGUCCUCUAAACGAGGACCAUGUAUUAAAUUGAUUUUUAGAACAAGGAGCUGGAACAGAGGCUUGCCUCGUCCUCUCCACGCAUUGACCUGGUAUGGCAGUAUCUCCAGGAACAGUGCACCUCCA
ensembl:snRNA U2 U2 spliceosomal RNA